rnacentral:lncRNA from 1 species
CGGGGACAAAAGUUAAAUGGCGAGCUAGGGGAGGUUUGCCCACAGUCCGAGCAAAAUUGCCUACGCUAAUUCAAUGCCAACCUAUCCACCGUCUCGCUGUGAACCACUGAAAAUGCCUUUCCAGAUAGAUAACUUUGAAUUAAUGCCUCAAGUGAUUUUUGACAUCAAUUUGAUAGUUUUACCGUACAUGCGUCUGGCUUGGUAAAUUGUGGUAGAGUGGUCUAAAAACUACUUCAUAAGAUCAUACCGUAAGGUCAAGCCGUUUGGGGAGACUGAUCAGUCCUCUAAAACAAGAUAAUAUAUGGGCUGAAACUUGCCUUGAAUUUCUGAUGGUCGAGUGAUCUGCAGCUUUUCCCCUUCACUUACCACACAGUUACAGUAAA